UUGCCUACGUGAACAUUAAUUUGAAACUCUUAGUAACAAAAGUAUUUAGGUUCUUGUAUAUUGCAAUGUUGUCAUGUCGUUUAUUGAUAACACUUUCAUGAAUUUUAAAUCACGCAUAACAAAAGCACGAUAUUUUGCAUAUAAAUAUGGUCGCAAUUUUCUCAAGAACCCAUUCAACCACAGACUAACAAACAUAAUGAAAUUCCUGGUAUUCGCCUUUUUAUUUGCAUUCGCUGUUGCUAGCGCUAUGGCUACUCCUACGGCAGUUGCUGAUGCUUUGCCAGCUGCUGAUCCAGAACCUGCAGCUGAUCCUGGAUAUCCUUCAUACUAUUCUUACUGCUAUUACUAUCCCUGCUAUCCUUCCUACUAUUACUACUACCCUUACUAUUAGACCGAAGUUUGUUUCUACUUGAAAAAUACUGAAAAUAAAUUUUGAUUCUUGCAAA